rnacentral:rRNA from 1 species
CGUGUAGGCGGCUUGUUAAGUCGGGUGUGAAAGCCCUCAGCUCAACUGAGGAAGGGCGCCCGAAACUGGCGAGCUUGAGUGUCGGAGAGGAUGGCGGAAUACCCCAAGUAGAGGUGAAAUUCGUAGAUAUGGGGUGGAACACCGGUGGCGAAGGCGGCCAUCUGGACGACAACUGACGCUGAGACGCGAAAGCGUGGGUAGCAAACA